rnacentral:lncRNA from 1 species
UCAUUUGAUAUCUUCUAGUCAGUAUCGACUAGCUUUUCUAAACUUUUCCAAUUCAUUCAAUAGUUUAGACAAUUCAAGUUCAUCAAUCUCGUGCUUUGUUUUGUUGUUGUUUCAGAGCACAGAAGAUAUCAUCAUCGGCGAACAGGCGAGUUGGAUUCAUGAAUCUUUCGAUGGUGGUAAUGGCUUUGGUGGUGAAUGGUGAUGAUGGUAAUGUAACUUGAGGGUUUGUUCGUAUUGUUCUAGGGUUUUGUUGAUAUCGGAACCAGAGACUAUGAUUCCUUCUUCUUUACGUUUCCAUAGUUUCUCUAUUAUUGUUUCUCUGACGUGAUUUUUUUUUCUUUUAUUUUUGGAUUCUAUCUGUUGUUUUAUUCUUUU